AACGUAGGUGGCGAGCGUUAUCCGGAUUUACUGGGCGUAAAGCGCGUGUAGGCGGUUUCAUAAGUCGUGCGUGAAAAGCUCCCCUGGCUCAACCGGGGAGAGGUCGUGCCGAUACUGCGAAACUUGAGUCAGACAGAGGCAAGUAGAAUUCCGGGUGUAGUGGUGAAAUGCGUAGAUAUCCGGAGGAAUACCAGUGGCGAAGGCGACUUGCUGGGUCUG
rnacentral:rRNA from 1 species